rnacentral:rRNA from 1 species
UACAGAGAGUGCAAGCGUUAAUCGGAAUUAUUGGGCGUAAAGCGUACGUAGGUGGAUAUUUAAGUCAGAUGUGAAAUCCCUGGGCUCAACCUAGGCAUUGCAUUUGAUACUGGGUAUCUUGAGUGUGGUAGAGGGAAGUGGAACUUCCGGUGUAGCGGUGAAAUGCGUAGAUAUCGGAAAGAACACCAGUGGCGAAGGCGGCUUCCUGGACCAACACUGACACUGAGGUACGAAAGCGUGGGGAGCAAACAGGAUUAGAGACCCUGGUAGUCCACGCUGUCAACGAUGAGAACUAGCUGUUGGAAGGGUUAUCCUUUUAGUAGCGAAGCUAACGCGUUAAGUUCUCCGCCUGGGGAGUACGGCCGCAAGGUUA